UAGGGAAUCUUCCACGAUGGACGCAAGUCUGAUGGAGCAACGCCGCGUGAGUGAAGAAGGUUUUCGGAUCGUAAAGCUCUGUUGUUGGUGAAGAAGGAUAGAGGCAGUAACUGGUCUUUAUUUGACGGUAAUCAACCAGAAAGUCACGGCUAACUACGUGCCAGCAGCCGCGGUAAUACGUAGGUGGCAAGCGUUGUCCGGAUUUAUUGGGCGUAAAGCGAGCGCAGGCGGAAUGAUAAGUCUGAUGUGAAAGCCCACGGCUCAACCGUGGAACUGCAUCGGAAACUGUCAUUCUUGAGUGCAGAAGAGGAGAGUGGAACUCCAUGUGUAGCGGUGGAAUGCGUAGAUAUAUGGAAGAACACCAGUGGCGAAGGCGGCUCUCUGGUCUGCAACUGACGCUGAGGCUCGAAAGCAUGGGUAGCGAACAGGAUUAGAUACCCUGGUAGUCCAUGCCGUAAACGAUGAGCGCUAGGUGUUGGGGACUUUCCGGUCCUCAGUGCCGCAGCAAACGCAUUAAGCGCUCCGCCUGGGGAGUACGACCGCAAGGUUGAAAC
rnacentral:rRNA from 1 species